UGCAGUCGCGCGAGAAGUCGGCUUCGGCUGGCGAGUAAAGCGGCGGACGGGUGCGUAACACGUGGGUAACCUGCCUGGGUGCGGGGGACAACUUGGGGAAACUCGAGCUAAUACCGCAUAAGCUCCGAGGACUGCGGUCCGAGGAGGAAAGCUGGCCUCUUCUUGAAAGCUAGCGCUCCCAGAGGGACCCGCGCUCGAUUAGCUAGUUGGUGGGGUAAUGGCUCACCAAGGCAGCGAUCGAUAGCCGGCCUGAGAGGGUGAUCGGCCACACUGGGACUGAGACACGGCCCAGACUCCUACGGGAGGCAGCAGUGGGGAAUAUUGCGCAAUGGGCGAAAGCCUGACGCAGCAACGCCGUGUGAGCGAUGAAGGCCUUUGGGUCGUAAAGCUCUGUCAAAUGGGAAGAAUUUUGACGGUACCAUUAGAGGAAGCCCCGGCUAACUCCGUGCCAGCAGCCGCGGUAAUACGGAGGGGGCAAGCGUUGUUCGGAAUUAUUGGGCGUAAAGAGUAUGUAGGCGGCUAAAUAAGUCAGACGUGCAAGCCCGUGGCUCAACCACGGAAUUGCGUUUGAAACUGUAUAGCUUGAGUACAGAAGAGGAAAGCGGAAUUCCCAGUGUAGCGGUGAAAUGCAUUGAUAUUGGGAAGAACAUCUGUGGCGAA
rnacentral:rRNA from 1 species